rnacentral:rRNA from 1 species
UACGUAGGGGGCUAGCGUUGUCCGGAAUCAUUGGGCGUAAAGAGCGUGUAGGCGGCCCGGUAAGUCCGCUGUGAAAGUCGGGGGCUCAACCCUCGAAUGCCGGUGGAUACUGUCGGGCUAGAGUGCGGAAGAGGCGAGUGGAAUUCCUGGUGUAGCGGUGGAAUGCGCAGAUAUCAGGAGGAACACCAAUGGCGAAGGCAGCUCGCUGGGACGGUACUGACGCUGAGGCGCGAAAGCGUGGGGAGCGAACAGG